AAGGGCUUAGCUUGAGGCGGUU
rnacentral:siRNA from 1 species